GCAUAUCAAUAAGCGGAGGAAAAGAAAAUAACAAUGAUUCCCCCAGUAACUGCGAGUGAAGAGGGACAAGCUCAAAUUUUAAAUCUGUCAGGUGAUACCUGGCCGAGUUGUAAUUUGAAGAAGCGUUUUCCGCGCGUUCUGGUCAGCCCAAGUUCCUUGGAACAGGGCAUCAUGGAGGGUGAGAGUCCCGUUCGGUUGAUCAGGUGCGUUUUACGAUACGCUUUCAAAGAGUCAAGUUGUUUGGGAUUGCAGCUUAAAAUGGGAGGUAAAUUUCUCCUAAGGCUAAAUACCGGCGAGAGACCGAUAGCGAACAAGUACCGUGAGGGAAAGAUGAAAAGAAUUUUGAAAAGAAAGUUAAACAGUACGUGAAAUUGUUGAAAGGGAAACGAUUGAAGCCAGUCGUACCGACGGGAAAUCAACUUCUCGAGUGCCUAUCGCGGGUGACAUUGAGCCUCACGGCCUUCGUUGCUUGUGUUGUUGGUGCUUUUGGGGUGUACUUUUCCGUAUGGUAGGUCAGCAUCGAUUUCGUUCGUCAUAAAAUGAUCGGGGGAAUGUAGCUUCGGUCUCGUAUCGGAGUGUUAUAGACCUUGGUAGAUGUGACGAUUGGGAUCGAGGAUUGCAACGAAUACCCUUUUGGGCUAUCCGUCUGGCCUCUGAAAGUCGCUCGGGUGUCGAAAGCGUGCUUACGGCUAUCUGAGUUGGCGGUCAACAGGUUAGAACGUGGUUACAUUCGUUAANGAUGUUGACGUA
rnacentral:rRNA from 1 species